GCCGGUGUGAUGGAAUUGGCAGACGUGACGGACUCAAAAUCCGUUGGUAGCGAUACCGUGUCGGUUCGAAUCCGACCACCGGCACCA
rnacentral:tRNA from 1 species